UCAUCUACAGGAAUACUAGGAGAAGUGGUGACUGAAAUUUAACAUCAUUGUCAUCGACCCUUUUUACUUGAUGAGUAAUCACAAAAAAUAUCAUUGACGACUUUUUCCAAAGCACAGCCAGAGAUAAAAUGCCAAGAAGCACAGAGGUCUUGCAACCAAUGUUCGAAUAGAAUGACCAAGAAAUUUCAACUCGUAGUACUAUAGAAGUUGGACUGGAUUAUUCUUAUUGUGUCCAACUUCAGCUGAUAAGUUUUAAAACAGUUUUUGAACCCAACACAAUAAAAAUAUGUCUGCGAAAAGUUUAUAAUAAAUCGCUCAUCGGCUUCCGGUCCCUUCGGUUUCUGAGCCUCCAUAUGGGCCUUUUACACAUUGACGAGGAGGCCUUUAUCCUGGCAACAGUUUUUCCAUCAACGGCACACACAUUAACUUAUUCAGUACCGGCAUGGUUUCAGGAGCAUAAAAUAUUAAUUAAAGAAGAACAUUGUAGCUUAAGAAUCCUAAUACAAAAAUUACGAAGAAAUCUUACUGAAAAAGGAAUUGCGACUAAAGUAUUUUCUUCUUUUAUGAUAAA